UACGUGGGGGGCAAGCGUUGUUCGGAAUUACUGGGCGUAAAGGGCUCGUAGGCGGCCAACUAAGUCAGACGUGAAAUCCCUCGGCUUAACCGGGGAACUGCGUCUGAUACUGGAUGGCUUGAGGUUGGGAGAGGGAUGCGGAAUUCCAGGUGUAGCGGUGAAAUGCGUAGAUAUCUGGAGGAACACCGGUGGCGAAGGCGGCAUCCUGGACCAAUUCUGACGCUGAGGAGCGAGAGCCAGGGGAGCAAACGGG
rnacentral:rRNA from 1 species